rnacentral:rRNA from 1 species
GACGAACCGUGCGAACGUUGUUCGGAAUCAUUGGGCGUAAAGAGCGUGUAGGCGGCCCGAUAAGUCCGCCGUGAAAGUCCAGGGCUCAACCCUGGAAUGCCGGUGGAAACUGUCGGGCUGGAGUCCGGAAGAGGCGAGUGGAAUUCCUGGUGUAGCGGUGAAAUGCGCAGAUAUCAGGAGGAACACCAAUGGCGAAGGCAGCUCGCUGGGACGGUACUGACGCUGAGACGCGAAAGCGUGGGGAGCAAACAGG